rnacentral:lncRNA from 1 species
CGGACAGGGGUUUUCCCUGUACGCGGACAGAGUCUCCCCUGUACGUUCUAGGCGUCGCAAUCGAAACAAUCAACGAAUAUUCCAACAAGGAACAGAUACCAAUCCAUAUUGCAAAGAAAGUAUCAAAUACAUAAAACUAACACCUAUUACAAGCAUUCACUUAGUACAACUCAGUUUCAGUUACAUUUCACUUUCAAAUUACAAUCUAAUUAUUACAUCAUUUAAUUUACAA